AUUGAACGCUGGCGGCAGGCCUAACACAUGCAAGUCGAGCGGAUGAAGGGAGCUUGCUCCUGGAUUCAGCGGCGGACGGGUGAGUAAUGCCUAGGAAUCUGCCUGGUAGUGGGGGAUAACGUCCGGAAACGGGCGCUAAUACCGCAUACGUCCUGAGGGAGAAAGUGGGGGAUCUUCGGACCUCACGCUACCAGAUGAGCCUAGGUCGGAUUAGCUAGUUGGUGGGGUAAAGGCCUACCAAGGCGACGAUCCGUAACUGGUCUGAGAGGAUGAUCAGUCACACUGGAACUGAGACACGGUCCAGACUCCUACGGGAGGCAGCAGUGGGGAAUAUUGGACAAUGGGUGAAAGCCUGAUCCAGCCAUGCCGCGUGUGUGAAGAAGGUCUUCGGAUUGUAAAGCACUUUAAGUUGGGAGGAAGGGCAGUAAGUUAAUACCUUGCUGUUUUGACGUUACCAACAGAAUAAGCACCGGCUAACUUCGUG
rnacentral:rRNA from 1 species